AAGGAUGGGUCCCCGGCCUGGUUCCCUGAUCCCAGGAGGCUGCGCCUUUCUUUUAGUCUUCGGAGCGUCUUCCUUCCAUUCUAACUGUGGAAACGGCUCACUUAAAUCCUGAAAUACUUUUAGUUUUUCAUAAAACGAAACAAAACCCGAAACACCGUUAGAUAUGUGUAUUGGAGAGUAGCGUACAUACUCCUGCAACCUCCGGAUCUCAAGGAACAAAGACAGCAGAGAGGAAGAAAUUCACUGGACUACCCCAACAGGAAGAAGAAAGAUUUCCUCCUUGCCCAGCAACAGCCCAGCCAACGAGAAACUGCCACCACUCAGCCAAUGAGAAACCGUUACCACCCUGAACUCCUGCUUUGCUUCAAUGGAAUUUUGUUCAGAGCAGCCCCCUCCAACUUCCUCCUUUCUCUCCAUGGAGUAAUGUGCCCCCAUUUUGUUCUCCAGACUCGCCCUCGGUUUACCAUAGCUUGUAUGUCCCAAAUAAAUUCCUCUGCAAUUCCCAA